UCCUGGACUCGGUCCGGUUUUUAAGUCAGACCCGAGCUGGCUCUUACACCGGGUCCGAUUUUUAAGGGGACUCAAUUUUUCUUGUGCCAGUUUUUGGGUCCAGUCUGGAAAAAGAAAUGGUACAAAAAAAAGUUCUCAAGCUCCUAAGGCAAAACCGUGAAGGAUCCAUAAGGACUUAGCUACCCCGUCUUGAAGCAGCGAGAAAGCAGCGAGCUCCAGGGGCCCAACAGCUCAAGGAAACCUUCUGAAGGAUCUAUUGAUAAAGAUACUUGCCCGGCCAGGAAUGAAUGAGGAGGGAAAAUUUCACACUACGGAAAAUAAAUUGAUGUAUAGAAAAGAAUUUGGAAAACCAGAGCAGUGCAUCCUGUUAAUCCUAAUAUGAUCUGAUUACUCUGAAGACCCGUGGUUCUUCAUUACAGAAAAUCAUCAUGAAUACUGCUGCCCCUUGCUAGGUGUGCUUCUGCUGGGGACUGUGUCACCUGGUAAUCGUCAACCACAGUCACUGGCGUCUCCUCUGUCCCAUCAACAUAAGCUUGUUACUGUAAAUAAUUUGACAUCACCAGAUUUCACAGUUCUGCUGAAACUACCACCAUUGCCAUGUAUUAAAAAGCAUAAAAUGCC